rnacentral:lncRNA from 10 species
GCUUAGAACUCAGCUUUCAAGGUUACUUUGGGGCCUGCUUGGCCAAGAGGGAGUCCGUUCAGCCAGUUGUGGGGCUUAGGGUUUCAUUUUUAUUUCCCAAAUGUCAUUAUAAAAAGAAGAGAGAUGAGACCUUUCUCUCUACCAUGCGAGGAUACAGCAAGAAGGUGGCCAUCUGCAAACCAGGAAGAGAGCCCUCACCAGACGUGAAAUCUGCCAGCACUGUGCUCCUUUUCUUACCAUUCCCAGAACUGUAAGAAAUAAAUGUUUGUGGUUUAAGCAACCCAGUGUGUCAUAUUUUGUUACAGCAGCUGGAACUGACUAAGACAGAGAGAAUGCAUUCAGUUGUUCACAGUUUUGUUAUCAGGGCAGCUGAGCAACUCACCGUCUUUUUCUAUGCCCUGGAAUGGAUCGUAUGAGCCAGGAACUAUCAGAUAAAGGUUUUUUAUUCUCAUCCACAGACAGAAGAUCUGGAACUAUUCUGGUUUUUUCUAUGAUGA